GAAUAUGUAAACUACUAAAAUUUGUAUAAAAUAUCUUACUCAAGUGCAUUAUGGGAAAUUAAGUCAAUAAAUAAAGUACAAAAGAGACCAUUCAUUUAUUGAAAAGUGAUUAGCUAUUAUAAGAAUAUUUGUUUAUUUAGAGAUUGAACACAUUAGAAUUUGUACUUUAUCUAUGAGAUUCUUAAUACCAAAUAUGAAACCUCACAUUGCUGAGAUAAAUUAUCAUGUAGUAUAUUAAAAUCCAAGAUUUUAUUUUUUUUAUUGGUGAUGUUGACCCUGAGAAAGAAGAUACCUAUCAGGAAGGGAUCCUGGUGGCUAAUUGGUCUCUAAUUUUUAAAAAGAGCCUAGUAGCUAUUUCUAACCAGGGUCCUUUUAUGCAAGCCACACUUCAGAGAGAAGUUUACACCAAGCUUUCUGCCUCCCACACUGAAUUGCCUUUCUCCAUUGUUCCUGUCAUCUGAGACAGACUGUAUAAAGGAAUUCCUGAAAUUGUAUUUCAACCAGUAGGACUGAGACUUUCCCUCUCCAUUCAGAGCUGCAUAGGUAUAUUAUUUUCAGUAUCUUUACUGACCAAUCAGAAUAGCUCCAUUCUGACCAAUUAGGACAGGGCAGCUUUUAGGUUUAAUCAGCCUGUGAGGAUUUAGAGUCCUUAUUUGCAUGAGAACAGAGCAAUCAGUGAUGAGUGGCAGGCACUUCUUUUCUACAUUAGUCACCUCCCCUCUGGCUCAGGGAGCAUAAUUUCCCUUUCCACCAAACACUGAAGACUGAGUUUCCCUGGCUGGAGCUGAAACAUCAAAGACAUCUCACCAGGCCAGAAUGGAGUAGAUUGGAGUAGAGUGGAACAGAGAAGAGCAGUGCCAUUACAGAGAGAGCAUGCACCUGGAGCAGCAAGAGUAACAUCAUGUUUCUUCCCUGGAAACAACACUCAGCAUCUCAGCAUCAAGCUGCCAUUGCUUUGAAUUGUGUCUGUGAGCCUCUGUGUUUCUGCUCCAUUUGUUUUCUGCAUCUGUUGCCAAAUUGCAUCCUAAGGUAAUCAUUUGUUCGCUUUACACCAUUCAGCUUAUGGAAGAUUUUAUAAGAAUACUCUACUUUUGGAUAGCAGGGGAAACUUGUAUAUACAGACCCAUAGAGAUCAAUAUAGAUAGGCUCUCUCAUCCAGCAACAUAGCAAUAGGAGCAAGUUUUUCGGUGCUCUUCCCAUCUGAAUGGUGGAGUUUACUUCUUUUUUUAUUUUAUGAGGUGAUAAAUUUUUAUGAGCCCAGGUUUUAGUGGAGAUGUUCUACUAGUUUUUCCUUCUUGAUGGACCUUGAAAUUUAUUUCUGGUCUUAACAUCAUCCAUUUUCUUCAUCUUGUGCGGCAAUAACAAAACUCACAGACUGGAUGGAUUAAACAACACAUUUUUUUUCCUACUGUUCUAAAAACUCACGUUCAAGAUCAAGGUGUUGGCUGAUUUGGCUCCUGGUAAAGGGCCCUCUUUCAGGCUUGCAAACAGCAGCCUUCUCACUGAUCCCCACUUCUCACAGGGAUUCUAAGCUCAUCAUGAUGCCCCACCCUCAUGACUUCAUCUAAAUCAAAAUACCUUCCAAAGCCCCUUCUCCAUAUCAUCACACUAGGGCUUAAGACUUUAAUAUGUAAAAUUUGGGGAACAAAACCUGUGGUUCACAACAUCCUUUCGCAGUAGUCAAAGUAGAUGCCCAUGGUUUCCACUACUUGCAGAAGCUACUGCUUGGGGUUUUGCUUCCUGACUUUUGAUCUUCUGCUGCAUAAGGGUAGGAAACGGUGAUCCAGUAGCUUCUAUUUAAAAAUAUUUUACAACCCCCAUUCCCACAGUGGCUAUUGUGUUUUUAAAUUCCAGGGCUUUUGCCUCAUCAGAAUUUUCCUUUUUCUCUAUAGCCUGUUUCAGAGAUAGGCAACAUUUUUCCUGAUCUCACUGAGAUUACAAAUAAAGCCAUUUGUUUUAAUUCCUGGUGUUUUAUCAUUUAAAUUUCUAAUUUUUCAUUUGUAAUGAUUUUUCUCCUAGUAAAUGCUAAGUUUUCCUAGUAUUUGAACUUAAAUGGAUUCUUCAGAUGGUCUAUGGUUUCUGCACAAAUCUUCCUUGCACAUUGACAAAGAAAGGAACUGUUCAAAUCAGUUGGAAUUUUACUUUGCUGAACCAGAGACCCUGAAUUUUGUGCAUAGGAGUGGGUAGAGGAAGAAGGAGGAGACGAGAAAGAUGGAGAAUGAAGGAUGUAACCAUCACAGAGAUAAUAUCAGUACCUCUAGCCUCAUUUGGGGUUAGUUGUGGUACCUGAUAGCUGGCCUGGAAAGCCCUCCUCUUCUCUAACCGGUAUAACUAAUGCCACUAGGUCCAGCUAUGCAAGUACCUCACUUUCUCUGGCAUGCUGUCUGUACCAACUAUAAACAGAAUGAACUGAAUGUGAGAGCCAUGGUUAGUUAUUAACAUUGUAAUCUGGCAUCUGGUGAACUAUUUGACUAAUAAAAAUGGUCUAGACUUAGCUUUUCCUGUAGCUCCCCUGACAUUCAAAUGUUCUCAACAUUAGGAGCUAGUGGUUUUGGUGGAAUUUUGCUGAAGGUGAAACCAAGUCUCUCCCCAACCCCCUUACGUCCUAACCAUUUUUCUUUUGCAUGAGUUGAGUUAUGGUUUGGGCCUUUCUUCCCAUUCAAUCCAAAUUUUCCUAUAAAACAGAAUAUAAAAAUUUCUGUUUCUAACAGAUAGAAAUCCUAGUUUCCAGCACCAGUAUGGAUUUUACUAACAAUUAUCAAAUGCUUUUGAUCCUUUGAAAAGGAAGGCAGGUGUUAAAUGUGUAAGGUUCAGAACACCAUAUGAAUUAAUUGUUCAGUUUAAAAACAAAAAUAUGCAAAGAAAUAUAUCAAUAAUUUUUUAUUUCAGUUACUUGAUUGUUGGCAUAUAUAACCCACUAGCCUAUUAGUGAAGUUCAUACUCUGGUGAAAUAUAUAUGUUCUAUUUAAUAAAUAUCUGAGUGAUCUUAUAACUGCCGUGCUCUAUGAAUGA